GGGAAGAUUUCAAACCUCACCAUCUACUCUUUAUCUUGGAAACAAGCGAGGACAUGGAUGUCUGGAGAAUCUAAUGAAUCGUAUGGUCUGGUAAUCCAUUACCAUCACAUGGAUAUCACUCGAUCUGAGUUACUAAAAUAUUUUGGAAAAUGAGGGGAGAUGUUAUUGUUGGCAUUAGUGGCCAUUGGAAUACAUGGAUAGCACUCACAUGGGC
rnacentral:lncRNA from 1 species